CAGCAGCCGCGGUAAUACGGAGGGAACUAGCGUUGUUCGGAAUUACUGGGCGUAAAGAGUACGUAGGCGGUGAUUCAAGUCAGAGGUGAAAGCCUGGAGCUCAACUCCAGAACUGCCUUUGAAACUAGAUCGCUAGAAUCAUGAAGAGGUUAGUGGAAUUCCGAGUGUAGAGGUGAAAUCCGUAGAUAUUCGGAAGAACACCAGUGGCGAAGGCGACUAACUGGACAUGUAUUGACGCUGAGGUACGAAAGCGUGGGGAGCAAACAGGAUUAGAUACCCUGGUAGUCCACGCCGUAAACGAUGAUAACUAGCUGUUCGGGGUCUACGAUCCUGAGUGGCGCAGCUAACGCAUUAAGUUAUCCGCCUGGGGAGUACGGUCGCAAGAUUAAAACUCAAAGGAAUUGACGGGGGCCUGCACAAGCGGUGGAGCAUGUGGUUUAAUUCGAAGCAACGCGCAGAACCUUACCAGCGUUUGACAUCCUAAUCGCGGAUUCCAGAGAUGGUUUCCUUCAGUUCGGCUGGAUUAGUGACAGGUGCUGCAUGGCUGUCGUCGGCUCGUGUCGUGAGAUGUUGGGUUAAGUCCCGCAACGAGCGCAACCCUCGUCUUUAGUUGCCAUCAUUCAGUUGGGCACUCUAAAGAAACUGCCGGUGAUAAGCCGGAGGAAGGUGGGGAUGACGUCAAGUCCUCAUGGCCCUUACACGCUGGGCUACACACGUGCUACAAUGGCGGUGACAGUGGGCAGCAACCGGGCGACCGGUAGCUAAUCUCCAAAAACCGUCUCAGUUCGGAUUGUUCUCUGCAACUCGAGAGCAUGAAGGUGGAAUCGMUAGUAAUCGCGGAUCAGCAUGCCGCGGUGAAUACGUUCCCAGGCCUUGUACACACCGCCCGUCACACCAUGGGAUUUGGAUUCACCCGAAGGCAGUGCGCUAACUCGCAAGAGAGGCAGCUGACCACGGUGGGUUUAGAGACUGGGGUGAAGUCGUAACAAGGUACCCGUA
rnacentral:rRNA from 1 species